rnacentral:rRNA from 1 species
GAUGAACGCUGGCGGCGUGCCUAAUACAUGCAAGUCGAGCGAACGGACGAGAAGCUUGCUUCUCUGAUGUUAGCGGCGGACGGGUGAGUAACACGUGGAUAACCUACCUAUAAGACUGGGAUAACUUCGGGAAACCGGAGCUAAUACCGGAUAAUAUUUUGAACCGCAUGGUUCAAAAGUGAAAGACGGUCUUGCUGUCUCUUAUAGAUGGAUCCGCGCUGCAUUAGCUAGUUGGUAAGGUAACGGCUUACCAAGGCAACGAUGCAUAGCCGACCUGAGAGGGUGAUCGGCCACACUGGAACUGAGACACGGUCCAGACUCCUACGGGAGGCAGCAGUAGGGAAUCUUCCGCAAUGGGCGAAAGCCUGACGGAGCAACGCCGCGUGAGUGAUGAAGGUCUUCGGAUCGUAAAACUCUGUUAUUAGGGAAGAACAUAUGUGUAAGUAACUGUGCACAUCUUAACGGUACCUAAUCAGAAAGCCACGGCUAACUACGUG